rnacentral:lncRNA from 1 species
UAGGGUGUUGUUGGGCAUUUGCUGCAGUGGCAGCCAUGGAAGGUCUGAACCAAAUCACGAACGGAAACCUGGUCUCAUUGUCCGAGCAACAAGUAUUGGACUGCAGCGGUAAUAGCAAUGGUUGCAACGGUGGUAACAAGAUAGAAGCCUUCAAAUACGUCAUUCAGAACAAUGGAUUAACCAAGGAAGACAAUUAUCCAUAUCAAGCUAUGCAAGGAACUUGUGACUUACAAAAACAGGCAUCCCAAGUUGCCCAUAUCAGCAACUAUGAAUCCGUACCUACCAACAGUGAGCAAGAGUUACUUAAGGCUGUCUCGAACCAACCAGUCGCAGUUAGCAUUGAAGGUAGCGGAACCGAUUUUAGACAUUACAGCAGUGGGAUUUUCAAUGGAUACUGCGGAACUAAUCCCGACCAUGCUGUCACUAUC